AUUGAACGCUGGCGGCAGGCCUAACACAUGCAAGUCGAACGGUAACAGGAAGCAGCUUGCUGCUUCGCUGACGAGUGGCGGACGGGUGAGUAAUGUCUGGGAAGCUGCCUGAUGGAGGGGGAUAACUACUGGAAACGGUAGCUAAUACCGCAUAAUGUCGCAAGACCAAAGAGGGGGACCUUCGGGCCUCUUGCCAUCGGAUGUGCCCAGAUGGGAUUAGCUUGUUGGUGGGGUAACGGCUCACCAAGGCGACGAUCCCUAGCUGGUCUGAGAGGAGGACCAGCCACACUGGAACUGAGCCACGGCCCAGACUCCUACGGGAGGCGGCAGUGGGGAAUAUUGCACAGUGGGCGCAAGCCUGAUGCAGCCAUGCCGCGUGUAUGAAGAAGGCCUUCGGGUUGUAAAGUACUUUCAGCGGGGAGGAAGGGAGUAAAGUUAAUACCGUGGCUCAUUGACGUUACCCGCAGAAGAAGCACCGGCUAACUCCGUG
rnacentral:rRNA from 1 species